ACGCUGGCGGCGUGCCUAAUACAUGCAAGUAGAACGCUGAAGAGAGGAGCUUGCUCUUCUUGGAUGAGUUGCGAACGGGUGAGUAACGCGUAGGUAACCUGCCUUGUAGCGGGGGAUAACUAUUGGAAACGAUAGCUAAUACCGCAUAACAAUGGAUGACUCAUGUCAUUUAUUUGAAAGGGGCAAAUGCUCCACUACAAGAUGGACCUACGUUGUAUUAGCUAGUAGGUGAGGUAACGGCUCACCUAGGCGACGAUACAUAGCCGACCUGAGAGGGUGAUCGGCCACACUGGGACUGAGACACGGCCCAGACUCCUACGGGAGGCAGCAGUAGGGAAUCUUCGGCAAUGGGGGCAACCCUGACCGAGCAACGCCGCGUGAGUGAAGAAGGUUUUCGGAUCGUAAAGCUCUGUUGUAAGUCAAGAACGAGUGUGAGAGUGGAAAGUUCACACUGUGACGGUAGCUUACCAGAAAGGGACGGCUAACUACGUGCCAGCAGCCGCGGUAAUACGUAGGUCCCGAGCGUUGUCCGGAUUUAUUGGGCGUAAAGCGAGCGCAGGCGGUUUGAUAAGUCUGAAGUUAAAGGCUGUGGCUCAACCAUAGUUCGCUUUGGAAACUGUCAAACUUGAGUGCAGAAGGGGAGAGUGGAAUUCCAUGUGUAGCGGUGAAAUGCGUAGAUAUAUGGAGGAACACCGGUGGCGAAAGCGGCUCUCUGGUCUGUAACUGACGCUGAGGCUCGAAAGCGUGGGGAGCGAACAGGAUUAGAUACCCUGGUAGUCCACGCCGUAAACGAUGAGUGCUAGGUGUUGGAUCCUUUCCGGGAUUCAGUGCCGCAGCUAACGCAUUAAGCACUCCGCCUGGGGAGUACGACCGCAAGGUUGAAACUCAAAGGAAUUGACGGGGGCCCGCA
rnacentral:rRNA from 1 species